AAAGAGCGUGAUAGUCGCGUAUGCGAAAACAUUCGACUUCCAGUUUGACACCCGAGUAAUGCGGAACACGAGGAAUUCUGCAUGAAUUUGCCGGGACCAUCCGGUAAGGCUAAAUACUCCGAAGUGACCGAUAGUGAACCAGUACCGUGAGGGAAAGGCGAAAAGAACCCCGGAGAGGGGAGUGAAAUAGAUCCUGAAACCGUAUGCGUACAAGCAGUGGGAGCC
rnacentral:rRNA from 1 species